AUUGAACGCUGGCGGCAUGCUUUACACAUGCAAGUCGAACGGAGUGGCGAACGGGUGAGUAAUAUAUCGGAACGUACCGAGUAAUGGGGGAUAACGUCCGGAAACGGGCGAUAAUACCGCAUACUAUCAGAUGAGCCUAGGUCGGAUUAGCUAGUUGGUGGGGUAAAGGCCUACCAAGGCGACGAUCCGUAACUGGUCUGAGAGGAUGAUCAGUCACACUGGAACUGAGACACGGUCCAGACUCCUACGGGAGGCAGCAGUGGGGAAUAUUGGACAAUGGGCGAAAGCCUGAUCCAGCCAUGCCGCGUGUAUGAAGAAGGCCUUCGGGUUGUAAAGUACUUUCAGCGGGGAGGCGUUACCCGCAGAAGAAGCACCGGCUAACUCCGUGCCAGCAGCCGCGGUAAUAC
rnacentral:rRNA from 1 species